GACGAACGCUGGCGGCGUGCUUAACACAUGCAAGUCGAACGGAAAGGCCUCUUUCGGGGGGUACUCGAGUGGCGAACGGGUGAGUAACACGUGAGUAACCUGCCCUUGACUUUGGGAUAACUUCAGGAAACUGGGGCUAAUACCGGAUAGGAGCUCCUGCUGCAUGGUGGGGGUUGGAAAGUUUCGGCGGUUGGGGAUGGACUCGCGGCUUAUCAGCUUGUUGGUGGGGUAGUGGCUUACCAAGGCUUUGACGGGUAGCCGGCCUGAGAGGGUGACCGGCCACAUUGGGACUGAGAUACGGCCCAGACUCCUACGGGAGGCAGCAGUGGGGAAUAUUGCACAAUGGGUGGAAGCCUGAUGCAGCAACGCCGUGUGCGGGAUGACGGCCUUCGGGUUGUAAACCGCUUUCGCUCAUGACGAAGCUUUGUGUGACGGUAGUGGGUAAAGAAUCACCGGCUAACUACGUG
rnacentral:rRNA from 1 species